rnacentral:rRNA from 1 species
GAUGAACGCUAGCUACAGGCUUAACACAUGCAAGUCGAGGGGUAACGAGAGGGAAGCUUGCUUUCCUUGUCGACGACCGGCGCACGGGUGAGUAACGCGUAUCCAACCUGCCCCCAACUAGGGAAUAACCUUGCGAAAGUAAGACUAAUACCCUAUGAUUUCCUCAGAUGCCAUCUGACGAGGAAUAAAGAUUUAUCGGUUGUGGAUGGGGAUGCGUCUGAUUAGCUUGUUGGCGGGGUAACGGCCCACCAAGGCAACGAGCAGUAGGGGUUCUGAGAGGAAGGUCCCCCACAUUGGGACUGAGACACGGUCCAAACUCCUACGGGAGGCAGCAGUGAGGAAUAUUGGUCAAUGGGCGGAAGCCUGAACCAGCCAAGUAGCGUGCAGGAUGACGGCCCUAUGGGUUGUAAACUGCUUUUAUACAGGAAUAAAGUUAGCCACGUGUGGUUAUUUGUAGGUACUGUAUGAAUAAGGACCGGCUAAUUCCGUGCCAGCCGCCGCGGUAA